GAGGGGAGAGGAGCAAAUGGUUAUUCUCAGGCGCUCCUUCUACUACAAACUUGGAGCAGAGGCCUUUGAGCUAAUUAAUUACAUUCUGUAUAUCUGAGCCAGCUAGCAGAGCUCCUCGCUGACACUCAGAUACAUCUGGGCCUGAUAACAAUUGCAAAUACUCAGGGCACACUUUAGGAAAAAAAAAAAAAAAAAAAAGGCUUAUGUUACAAUGUGCAACAGCACGUUGUACAGUCCUCGGAUCGGUCAGAUAAAUAAAACAGCUCGAGUCCAGGGCUUCGUGGGGGGAAAACGUACUUGGUAACAUUUCACCUAGAGCAGAAAAAUUUCCCCACUGACCAGGGACCAGUUUGACCCGAAGACAAUGUUCAGUUCCUCCGAGGGACAGUUUUGGAGAUUUGGGUCCGACGUGGGAACGUAGAAGAGAAUUUACAAGAAGCUCCUUCUGCGCACCCAUCCGAGGAGCGGGUGUAGACAUGCAGAGACUGCGCGUUCCUCGGCCGCGUUCGGGGUAAAUACUGAAAAGAUCAUGAAGCAAAUAAACACGGAUUUUCUUGAGGAAAGUGAAUAGGCCCAGAGACCACGUUUCAUGCCUUACUGAACCCCUGACUCACUCGCUUCGAAGGCCAUCUGUCCUUGAGACAAAAAGACCACUUUUUG